rnacentral:tRNA from 1 species
GAGGGUAUUGCUCAAGUGUAGAGAGCAUGCUUAGCAAGCACAAGAUCCUGGGUUCAAUCCCCAGUACCUCCU